rnacentral:lncRNA from 1 species
UUUGUUGCAAUUUUGGUUAAAUGCACAAGGAAAUGUCCCAGUUAUUAGAAUACCGCACUACCAGCACCUUGUCACUUAAAUUUUUUGAAAAGUAGCAAUAACCAGCCAUUUGUAAAAUAACACUCGGAAAAUCUUAAUAAUCUUAUAGAUAUGACAACUUAAUUAAUAUAGACUUCUAUGGCAUUUAAACACAUGCCAUAUAACAUAAAAUUUUCUCAUAGGAGUAUUAGCUUCAAUCACAAGCACAUUUGUAAACUUGUGACAUGAACUAAGAUUACAUAUAUCCCCCGGCCUUGCUUUUACAAACACCUUCCUUUAAC